AACGCAUGCGUUCUCUCUUCUUCUCCUCGAUUCUUGUCAAAAACACAUAAAACCCAGUUCUCUUCUCACCAGUCUCACUCUGUAUCGCGACUCACUCUCUCUCUCUGCAGUUUUCAGUUUCUCUGGCGUCGCAUCUCCACCAGUCUGAUCACUCUCUCUCUCUCUCUCUCUCUCUCUCUCUCUCUUGCUACUUGCUAAUCUCAGUUCUCACUCACUCUAACUAAGAUGUCAAAAGUUGAAAAAAACCCUACUAGUAACGUGAAGAAUUUGAAUAUGAAUGUGAAUGAGAAUGAUAGUGUUGCUGGAAAUUGGUACACUUCAAUUGUUCAUAAUAUUUCAGUGUAUGGCGUUGCUGCUGGUUACUGUUUAUCUGCAUCUUUGCUGUCAAUUAUCAACAAAUGGGCUAUCAUGAAAUUUCCUUACCCGGGUGCGCUUACUGCGUUACAGUACUUCACCAGUGCUGCCGGAGUUUUGCUAUGUGGAUGGCUCAAGGUUGUCGAACAUGACAAGCUUGAUUUGAUGACAAUGUGGAGGUUUUUGCCGGCUGCUGUGAUUUUUUACCUGUCACUGUUUACUAACAGUGAGUUGCUGUUACAUGCCAAUGUAGAUACUUUCAUUGUGUUCCGAUCGGCUGUUCCAAUUUUUGUUGCUAUAGGGGAGUCAGUGUUUCUGCAUCGGCCGUGGCCGUCUUUGAAGACGUGGGCUUCGUUGGGAACUAUAUUCGCUGGAAGUGUGCUUUAUGUUGCAACUGAUUAUCAGUUUACUUUUGCGGCUUACAUGUGGGCGGUGGCGUAUUUGGUUAGUAUGACGAUAGAUUUUGUUUACAUAAAGCAUGUGGUUACGACGAUUGAAUUGAACACUUGGGGUCUUGUGUUGUACAAUAAUAUUGAGGCUCUUCUGCUUUUUCCGCUGGAAUUGUUGAUAAUGGGUGAGUUGAAGAAGAUACAACAUGAGAUCACUGAUGAGUCUGAUUGGCAUUCGUUCCCUGUGGUUUUGCCUGUGGCGUUGUCAUGCUUGUUUGGUCUCGCGAUCUCUUUCUUUGGAUUUUCGUGUCGCAGGGCUAUUUCUGCAACUGGAUUUACUGUUCUCGGUAUAGUGAAUAAGUUGUUGACGGUCAUGAUUAAUUUGGUGAUAUGGGAUAAGCACUCGACGUGGGUGGGUACAGUGGGACUUUUGAUUUGUAUGCUUGGUGGGGUUAUGUAUCAGCAAUCAACAAGUAAACCAAAGGCUGCAAUACAGGAAACUACACAAGAAGAUGAGGAACAGCUGAAGUUGCUUGAAAUGCAAGUCAAUUCUGAGACCAACAUUAGUGAUACUGAAAUUAAUAAAUCAAGGGAAGGAAAUUGAAAUUAUGUUUAUGUAACAAAAUUUCUAUACUUCCUCAAAAGUAUAUUUUUCACAGCUUUUACUGCCUUAAGAUACUUCACUGCAUCGUAGAGAAGUUUAGAAGAGCGGUUGUUUCCGGGGAUCUUCAUCAAUAUUCAGAAAAUAAGUGAUGGAAGGGAAGGAAGAUUGUGUUUUGCUUAUUGAGGAACGAGAAAACGAGGAACAGGCAUAACCCUAUUUUAUAGUGUGAAUCCUAAUCAACUCUGAAGCAAGGGAAGAUAAACAAUGCAGAGAGAGAAAGAAGAUACUGAUUUGGGUAAAAAAUAGUAGGCUUUUAAGUGCAGUUUUGCUUCCCCUAUUUUGACAGAAUUGGAAUUUUACCCCCUCCUAUUUUAAAACUUGGAAUUUUACCCCCCCAAUUUAAUGUUUUUUGGAAUUUUGCCCCCCCACCA